UUGGCGGCAGGCCUAACACAUGCAAGUCGAACGGUAGCACAGAGAGCUUGCUCUCGGGUGACGAGUGGCGGACGGGUGAGUAAUGUCUGGGAAACUGCCUGAUGGAGGGGGAUAACUACUGGAAACGGUAGCUAAUACCGCAUAACGUCGCAAGACCAAAGAGGGGGACCUUCGGGCCUCUUGCCAUCAGAUGUGCCCAGAUGGGAUUAGCUAGUAGGUGGGGUAACGGCUCACCUAGGCGACGAUCCCUAGCUGGUCUGAGAGGAUGACCAGCCACACUGGAACUGAGACACGGUCCAGACUCCUACGGGAGGCAGCAGUGGGGAAUAUUGCACAAUGGGCGCAAGCCUGAUGCAGCCAUGCCGCGYGUAUGAAGAAGGCCUUCGGGUUGUAAAGUACUUUCAGCGGGGAGGAAGGCGAUAAGGUUAAUAACCUUGUCGAUUGACGUUACCCGCAGAAGAAGCACCGGCUAACUCCGUGCCAGCAGCCGCGGUAAUACGGAGGGUGCAAGCGUUAAUCGGAAUUACUGGGCGUAAAGCGCACGCAGGCGGUCUGUCAAGUCGGAUGUGAAAUCCCCGGGCUCAACCUGGGAACUGCAUUCGAAACUGGCAGGCUGGAGUCUGAGAG
rnacentral:rRNA from 1 species